UCUUAUCUAGAGAGGUAUAGGGACUGGCCCGAUGACACCUCAGCAACCGCCAUUUUGGCACGGUGCUAAUUCCAGCAAGCCGGAAAUGCGGCUUGGUAGAUGAGG
rnacentral:ncRNA from 1 species